AACGCACAUUGCGCCCGCCAGUAUUCUGGCGGGCAUGCCUGUCCGAGCGUCAUUUCAACCCUCGAACCCCUCCGGGGGGUCGGCGUUGGGGAUCGGCCCCUCACCGGGCCGCCCCCGAAAUCCAGUGGCGGUCUCGCCGCAGCCUCUCCUGCGCAGUAGUUUGCACACUCGCACCGGGAGCGCGGCGCGGCCACAGCCGUAAAACACCCCAAACUCUGAAAUGUUGACCUCGGAUCAGGUAGGAAUACCCGCUGAACUUAA
rnacentral:misc_RNA from 1 species